GUUCCAUAGUGCAGCGGUUGGCACGUCUGCGUUACACACAGAAGGGCCUGGGUCUGAUCCCCAGUGGGAC
rnacentral:tRNA from 1 species